rnacentral:rRNA from 1 species
UACGAAGGGGGCGAGCGUUGUUCGGAAUCACUGGGCGUAAAGAGUGUGUAGGCGGUGCUCUAAGUUCGGUGUGAAAUCUCCCGCUUAACUGGGAGGGUGCGCCGGAAACUGGAGUGCUCGAGCGUGGGAGAGGAAAGCGGAAUUCCUGGUGUAGCGGUGAAAUGCGCAGAUAUCAGGAGGAACACCAAUUGCGAAGGCAGCUCGCUGGGACGUUACUGACGCUGGAGACGCGAAAGCGUUGGGGAGCAAACAGG